CAACCUUAAUCUCUUUAUCUAGAAGCUAACAAAAGAAGACCAAUAAUUCAUUCAAACACGUAGAGGGCCCCACAACUCAAGUCUACCUGCAAUGCAAUGUCUGUCAAAAUAAGCUUUUGGGGGUGUUGACUCCAUGAAAUAUCACAUUCGUUUUUCCAUCCGUUCCAAUUUAUCUCUACCUUCCCCCAUCUCCCUAAACAAUCUGCCAGUAUGUUAUGUUAGAUCACAACAAGUAGGGCUGUUUAAAAUAAAUGAAAAAAAAGUGGUCUGAUUGAAUGAAAUAUCUCAUUAGUCCUCCCAUCAUCAAUUCUGCAACAAUGGCGGCAACAAAAGCUGAAUUCAUGCUGCUUCUGAUUCUCAAUGUGAUCAUCAUGCAAAGAUUAGCUGAAUCUGGUGUGCCACAACAAGAAGUGGAAGCUGUUGGGAACAUUCUUGCUUCCAUGAAUGCAACAAGUUGGAGAUUUGAUGGCGACGAUUGCAGUCUUCAUAUGGUUUCUGAAGUGCCAAAGCCAUCUCAAGAAGCUAAUGCCAGCAUUGGAUGUGAUUGCAACAUUGGCAACCAUACCGAUGAUUGUCAUGUCGUAUGGAUCACACACCAGUUUUACAGCCUUGAUGGGGUACUCUCACCUGAAUUAGUAAAGCUUCCUUACCUCUGGUCCAUAGAUUUUGCUUACAAUUACUUAAGUGGCACAAUACCGCCUGAAUGGGGUUCAACAACGUUACAAGAAAUCUCCCUUCUUGGUAACCGUUUAACUGGAUCAAUUCCACCGGAACUAGGCAAUAUCACCACUCUCACAAAACUGAACUUUGAAGCAAACCAGCUUUCAGGAACUAUUCCAUCUGAGUUAGGGAGAUUAACAAAUUUAAAAACAUUGAUAUUGUCUUCAAAUAGGUUGACUGGAAGGCUGCCAACAACCCUUGGUCAACUAGGAAAUCUAACAGAAUUUAGGAUAAAGGAAAACAAUUUCAGCGGGUCGAUACCUGAUUUUAUACAAAACUGGAGAUUACUUACUAGAUUAGAGAUGGUGGCGAGUGGACUCACGGGACCUAUUCCUUCAAACAUAUCUCUUCUUGAGAAUCUAACAGAUCUGAGAAUUGGUGAAAUAACCGGACCUGCUCAAGCUUUUCCUCAGCUCAACAAUACUCAUGGAUUAAUAAGAUUGAUCUUGAGAAAUUGCAACAUAUCUGGAGAAAUACCGGAAUACAUCUGGCUAAUGAGGGAACUUGAAGUUUUGGAUUUAAGUUUUAAUCGGUUAGUAGGGAGAAUAUCUAAUAACAUCGUGGGGUGGACCUUGAGAUUUGUGUUUUUGACCGCUAAUAUGCUAAGUGGAGACAUACCAGAUACACUUUUGUUAAAUGGAGCUACUAUUGAUUUUUCCUACAACAAUUUUACAUGGCAAGGACCUGAUCAAGCCACAUGCCGACAAAACCAGAAUUACUAUGUAAACAUAUUCAGAAGCUCCUCGACAGGAAAGCCAAUGCAUGAUAUGCUCCCGUGCACGGAGAAUAUUAAGGGUCCUAGAUCUGCGUGCUCUUUACAUGUUAACUGUGGCGGGAAUGAUUUAGCGGUCAGGGAAAACGAGCAGUCUGUUCUUUAUGAAGGAGACGCCAAUGUGGAUGGUGGUGCCGCCAGGCUGUACAAAGCCGCCAGGAACUGGGGACUUAGUAGCACCGGUGACUUCAUGGAUGACAACAAUUUUCAAAAUGCGCGAUAUGCAGAAUCUUUACAGGGCAACACGAGGUUACCUGCACUUUAUACAACCGCACGGCUCUCACCACUUACACUCACUUACUUCAGCUACUGUCUGGAGAACGGUGAAUAUUCUGUUAAACUGCAUUUCGCAGAGAUACAGUUCACUAACGAUAGCACGUAUAAAAGUCUGGGCAGGCGGAUAUUUGAUAUCUAUAUUCAGGGACGGCGGGUCAGAAAGGAUUUUAAUAUCGAAGAUGAGGCAGGUGGUGUUGGACGGCCCGUGGUCGUGCCAUUUAACGCUAGUGUGACUGUUAGCAUCUUGGAGAUCCGGUUUUACUGGGCGGGUAAAGGGACGACCCGUUUUCCUAAAGCAGGAGUUUAUGGGCCUCUUGUAUCAGCUAUUGACGUUGACCUGCAUUUUAAAACUUGUUCGAUGGGUGGAAAAAAGUCGAAUAAAGCUGUUUAUAUAGGUGUUGGCAUUGCUGUCCCGUUUCUUAUUUUCUUGAUCUUGGUAGUUUUGUGGCGGAAAAAAUGUUUUAAAGGCCGAAAAGCGAACGAUAAAGAUUUUGAAGGAAUGGAGCUUAAAACGAUUUCGUUUUCUUUGAAACAACUAAAGACUGCUACAAACAACUUCAAGGAUUCCAACAAAAUCGGGGAAGGAGGUUUUGGGGCUGUUUACAAGGGUACGUUGAGUGAUGGCACAGUGGUUGCAGUGAAGCAGCUUUCGUCUCACUCAAAGCAGGGAAACCGUGAGUUCUUGAAUGAGAUCGGUGUGAUUUCGUGUUUACAACACCCGAAUCUUGUUAAACUUCAUGGAUGUUGCAUUGAAGGAGAUCAGUUGUUGCUGGUUUAUGAAUACAUGGAAAAUAAUAGCCUUGCAAAUGCUUUGUUUGGUGGUAAAAGUGGAUUAACGUUGGAUUGGCCAACAAGGUUCAGGAUAUGUAUCGGGAUUGCUCGAGGUUUAGCUUUUCUUCACGAUGAAUCGAGGAUCAAAAUUGUCCACCGGGACAUUAAAGCCACAAAUGUGCUACUUGAUAAAGAUCUCAACCCAAAAAUUUCGGAUUUCGGAUUGGCAAGGCUAAAUGAGGACGAUAAGACUCACGUUAGCACACGAGUUGCCGGAACAAUUGGAUACAUUGCACCCGAGUAUGCCCUCCGGGGUCACUUGAGCGACAAGGCAGAUGUUUACAGCUAUGGAGUUUUGCUAUUGGAAAUCAUUAGCGGGAAGAACAACACCAGUUACAUACCGAUUAACAAUUGCAUUUGUCUCCUAGAUUGGGUAAGAUUCAAGUUUUCAUGGUCAAAUCUGUAAGACUAAAGGGUAUGGUUCGGCUCAUCCUCACGGGGAUGAGCCUCCACGUAGGCGCCACGUAGGCGGCUCGUGGGGGAUGAGCCAAAUGAAGGAUGGAGGGGGAUGGAGGAUGGGGCCCCACCUCAUUAUUUUAUAAUUUCCUAUGGUUUAAUUUAAUAACCCAAGUUAAUAAAAACUUUAUAAAAUUUAAAAAACACAACAUAAAAAACACAACAUAAAAAACACAACAUAAAACAACAUAAUUUCAUUUCAUAACAUAAAAAAAAAUUAAAUUUCCUAAAAAAAAAAGAAACCGAAAAUAAAAAUAAAAAAAAUUAUACCGACUAUCGGGCAAGUAGAGGCCUUAACAUACGCCAUAGCUAGCGCCUCCUCUUCUACUUUCGUCCAAGGUCUCCCCUUUGCUCUCAGUUUUGGCGCGGUUUCGGGUUCAACCUUCUUUCCCUUCCCCUUGUUUUUUUUGCGCGUGAGCUCUUGCGGUGGUGAUUCGGGGACGACUUCUUCAUCAUCAUCUUCAAGUUGAACCGGGGGUUGGGGUUGCGAUUGCGAUUGAAGUUGUUCAAACGUGUUGCGUUGCAUGAUUUGUUGGAGCGCUUGAUAUUGUUGAACUUGUUGAAGUUGAGACAUUUGUGAGAAGGCGUUGGGUGUUUGUUGGAAACCCGAAAACGGAAAUUGCGAAGCCCCCCACGAAGGAUCCAUAGUCGGAGUGUAAGCGGGACUCGAAAAAAAAUUAGGUUGGUUCGGAUUGGGAUUAUUCGGGUUGGGGUUGUUUGGGUUGAAUGGAUUCAUGAUUGGGAGAGAUGGUAUAAAAAUUAUAGAGUGUUUUUAUAAAAAAGGAAGAGAAUUGGAGAAGAAUGGGAGUAGAAUGAUAGAGAAUGGUAUAAAAAUGGAUUAGAUUGUGGUAUUUAUUUAAAAUGAAAAUGAUUUUUUUUUUAUUAAAAAUGCCGUUAUUAAACGGCUAUCUUUUCAAACAUUGGAGCGGCAACCCCGGCUGUGGGGUGCCAGGUUGGACGAGCUGAGCCCCAGGGGGCGGUGUGGGGGUUCGGCGCCGGGCCUAGCCGGGCAUCUGCCGGCCCCCAUACCUUCCAGUCUAAGGGUAGGGGUGCUCUUGGGCUCAGACAUCAAACCAAACCAAAAGCCGAAAAUUCAGUUUUUGGCUUUUUGAGUACUGAAAAUAACAUUAAAAUAUGUUCCGUUUUCAGACCAUAUGUAAUGGGGCGCGAGGCACCACCAUAGCGCCGAUAUGGCGCCAUGUACACCGGCCCCCCGGGCGCUAUGAGAAAAAAAAAAGGUUGGGCGUUUUGUUUUUCGCGGCGCGAGGAGGUGAUGUUUAUGAUUUUGACCGUUUGAUAACGGUCAUAUUUUAAAAAAAAAAAAAAAUUCAAUUUUUUUAUUUUUUACACUAUAAAAACCUCAUUUUCUUCCACUUUUUUUACAACUCAAACCUCAUACUCAUUCUCCAUACUCAUUCUCCAUAUAUUUUUAUAAAAGCUAGUCUCACUUUAUAAAAAAUGGGUUCCCCGUCGGAAGAGUCUUUCACCGAAAUUUACCGAAGAUAUUUUUCGCCCGACGAAGACGCGGCCGAGGAAGAAGCGGUUACGAGUGCGUGUACUUUUGUGCUACAAACAUUUGAGCACAUUCGGCCACCACCCCCUCCACGACCCAUCUUGCGACGCACCUAUAUCUUGCGAGAUCGUGAAGCCGCGAACGAGCGUUUGAUGAAAGAUUAUUUUGACGCGGCACCGGUUCACGGACCGAAUGUUUUUAGACGACGUUUUCGGAUGAGCCAAAGGUUAUUUUUGCGCAUUAACAAUGACUUGGAAAAUACGUACGAUUUCUUUAAGCAAAGAAUGGACGCACGAGGAUAUCUAGGCUUCACCUCAAUUCAAAAGGUCACAUCCGCCUUGCGCGUAUUAGCAUACGGAAACACGUACGACAUCAACGACGAGUAUUUGAAGAUGGCGGAGAAAACAACCCGAGAUACCUUGGAACAUUUUUGCUAUGGAAUAUGCCAGUUAUAUGGAAAACGUUAUUUGAGAAACCCCACUUGGAACGACCUUCAAAAAAUAUAUGAGGUGCAUCUAGAAAAGCAUGGAAUACCCGGCAUGAUUGGUAGCUUGGAUUGUCGUCAAUGGCGUUGGUAUAAUUGUCCAACCGCAUGGCGAGGUCAACAUACGCGUGGUGAUCAAAAAGGGCCAACUUUGGUAUUACAAGGUGUUGCGUCAUACGACCUUUGGGUUUGGUCGGCCUUCUUUGGUGUAGCCGGGUGUUUUAACGAUAUUAAUACGUUAGAGGCUUCACCAUUAAUCGAGGGCUACAUUUCUGGAACUAUACCAAAGGCCGGUUUCCAUGCAAACGGGAACGAUUACGAGCAUGGCUACUACUUGGGCGAUGGUAUCUACCCCGAGUAUUCGAUUAUUGUUAAAACGUUUUCUGAAACUUUCGAUGAAAAAAGAAAGUAUUUUAAAAAAUUACAAGAGUCUUCGAGAAAGGACAUCGAGAGGUGUUUUGGGGUUCUCCAGCAACGAUGGCAUUUUAUCAGGAAUCCUUGUCGCAUGUGGCAUAAGGAUAAAAUACGAAUGGCCAUGUAUGCUUGCAUCAUUUUGCAUAAUAUGAUCAUUGAGGAUGAUGGAAAAGCGAUAUGCCAAAACUAUAUUCCCGAAGAUUUGGUCGAACUACCCCAAGCGACAACGGAAGA